rnacentral:rRNA from 1 species
UACGUAGGGGGCAAGCGUUGUCCGGAUUUAUUGGGCGUAAAGAGCUCGUAGGCGGCCGUUCGCGUCGGAUGUGAAAGCUCAGGGCUCAACUCUGAGAUGCCAUUCGAUACGGGACGGCUAGAGGUAGGUAGGGGAGAGUGGAAUUCCUGGUGUAGCGGUGAAAUGCGCAGAUAUCAGGAGGAACACCAAUUGCGAAGGCAGCUCGCUGGGACGUUACUGACGCUGAGACGCGAAAGCGUGGGGGGCAAACAGG